GUGGGUAGUUUGACUGGGGCGGUCUCCUCCUAAAGAGUAACGGAGGAGCACGAAGGUUGGCUAAUCCUGGUCGGACAUCAGGAGGUUAGUGCAAUGGCAUAAGCCAGCUUGACUGCGAGCGUGACGGCGCGAGCAGGUGCGAAAGCAGGUCAUAGUGAUCCGGUGGUUCUGAAUGGAAGGGCCAUCGCUCAACGGAUAAAAGGUACUCCGGGGAUAACAGGCUGAUACCGCCCAAGAGUUCAUAUCGACGGCGGUGUUUGGCACCUCGAUGUCGGCUCAUCACAUCCUGGGGCUGAAGUAGGUCCCAAGGGUAUGGCUGUUCGCCAUUUAAAGUGGUACGCGAGCUGGGUUUAGAACGUCGUGAGACAGUUCGGUCCCUAUCUGCCGUGGGCGCUGGAGAACUGAGGGGGGCUGCUCCUAGUACGAGAGGACCGGAGUGGACGCAUCACUGGUGUUCGGGUUGUCAUGCCAAUGGCACUGCCCGGUAGCUAAAUGCGGAAGAGAUAAGUGCUGAAAGCAUCUAAGCACGAAACUUGCCCCGAGAUGAGUUCUCCCUGAGACUUUAGGUCUCCUGAAGGAACGUUGAAGACGACGACGUUGAUAGGCCGGGUGUGUAAGCGCAGCGAUGCGUUGAGCUAACCGGUACUAAUGAACCGUGAGGCUUAACCUUACAACGCCG
rnacentral:rRNA from 10 species